CAUUGGAAGCAUUGAUGAGAUUAUCUAUGCAAAUAGACAGGCGCCUAAGGGAGAGGAAGUCUGAACGCCAUGGUCCAGAACCUACUUAUCGUAAGACCCCCACUUCCGCAGUACCCGUAGGCAGUGGUGGGACAUCUCAGGAACCAAUGGAGAUAGGGCUCUUGAGGGGUCCUCUGUCUACUGAGGAAAAGCAAAGAAGAAAAACUCUCUCGUUGUGUCUUUAUUGUGCUAGUCCAGCACAUUCAGUCAAGGACUGCCCCAUUCUUCUGAAAAACAAGAAAAUGGGACCGUAGACGCCUAUCUUCUGAGGCCAUUCUCGACACUGGGGCACAUGGGAAUUAUAUAGACAUAGAGGUUGUUAAGGCAAAUAAAAUACCACUUGAAAAAAAAAA